AACGAACGCUGGCGGCAGGCCUAACACAUGCAAGUCGAGCGCCCUUUCGGGGGAGCGGCGGCCGGGUGAGUAACGCGUGGGAAUAUGCCCUUCUCUACGGAAUAGCCUCGGGAAACUGAGAGUAAUACCGUAUACGCCCUAUGGGGGAAAGAUUUAUCGGGGAAGGAUUAGCCCGCGUUGGAUUAGGUAGUUGGUGGGGUAAUGGCCUACCAAGCCGACGAUCCAUAGCUGGUUUGAGAGGAUGAUCAGCCACACUGGGACUGAGACACGGCCCAGACUCCUACGGGAGGCAGCAGUGGGGAAUCUUAGACAAUGGGGGCAACCCUGAUCUAGCCAUGCCGCGUGAGUGAUGAAGGCCUUAGGGUUGUAAAGCUCUUUCAGCUGGGAAGAUAAUGACGGUACCAGCAGAAGAAGCCCCGGCUAACUCCGUG
rnacentral:rRNA from 1 species